rnacentral:rRNA from 1 species
AACGAACCCUUCGGGGUGAGUGGCGCACGGGUGCGUAACACGUGGGAACCUGCCCUUAGGUUCGGAAUAACUCAGAGAAAUUUGAGCUAAUACCGGAUAAUGUCUUCGGACCAAAGAUUUAUCGCCUUUGGAUGGGCCCGCGUAGGAUUAGCUAGUUGGUGGGGUAAAGGCCUACCAAGGCGACGAUCCUUAGCUGGUCUGAGAGGAUGAUCAGCCACACUGGGACUGAGACACGGCCCAGACUCCUACGGGAGGCAGCAGUGGGGAAUAUUGGACAAUGGGCGAAAGCCUGAUCCAGCAAUGCCGCGUGAGUGAUGAAGGCCUUAGGGUUGUAAAGCUCUUUUACCAGGGAUGAUAAUGACAGUACCUGGAGAAUAAGCUCCGGCUAACUCCGUGCCAGCAGCCGCGGUAAUACGGAGGGAGCUAGCGUUGUUCGGAAUUACUGGGCGUAAAGCGCGCGUAGGCGGCUUUUCAAGUCAGGGGUGAAAUCCCGGGGCUCAACCCCGGAACUGCCCUUGAAACUGGAUGGCUAGAAUACUGGAGAGGUGAGUGGAAUUCCGAGUGUAGAGGUGAAAUUCGUAGAUAUUCGGAAGAACACCAGUGGCGAAGGCGACUCACUGGACA